rnacentral:tRNA from 2 species
GUGAGCGUAGCUCAGCUGGUAGAGCGCCAGACUGUGGAUCUGGACGUCGCGGGUUCGAAUCCCGUCGCUCACCCCA